rnacentral:rRNA from 1 species
ACUGAGACACUGCCCAGACUCCUACGGGAGGCUGCAGUCGAGAAUCAUUGUCAAUGCACGAAAGUGUGAACAUGCGACGCCGCGUGGAGGAUGACGGCCUUAGGGUUGUAAACUCCUGUCAGCAGGAAGGAAUAAUUAAAUAAUUAAUACCUAUUUAAUUUGACAGUACCUGCAGAGGAAGUCACGGCUAACUCUGUGCCAGCAGCCGCGGUAAUACAGAGGUGGCGAACGUUGUUCGGAUUUACUGGGCGUAAAGGGUCCGUAGGCGGUCUGGUGUGUCGGAUGUGAAAGCUCACAGCUCAACUGUGGAAUUGCAUUCGAAACUGCUAGACUAGAGUACUGGAGGGGUGAAGGGAACACUUGGUGUAGCGGUGAAAUGCGUAGAUAUCAAGUGGAACACCGGAGGCGAAGGCGCUUCACUGGACAGAUACUGACGCUCAUGGACGAAAGUUAGGGUAGCGAAAGGGAUUAGAUACCCCUGUAGUCCUAACCGUAAACGGUGUGCACUAGGCGUGGGAGGCUUUACCCCCUUCCGUGUCUGAGCUAACGCAUUAAGUGCACCGCCUGGGGAGUACGGUCGCAAGAUUAAAACUCAAAGGAAUUGACGGGGACCCGCACAAGCGGUGGAGCAUGCGGCUUAAUUCGAUGCAACGCGAAGAACCUUACCUGGGCUUGACAUAUAGCUGCAUACGACCCGAAAGGGACGUAGCCUUCGAGGGUGCUAUACAGGUGCUGCAUGGCUGUCGUCAGCUCGUGCCGUGAGGUGUUGGGUUAAGUCCCGCAACGAGCGCAACCCCUGUGUUUAUUUGCCAGCACGUAAUGGUGGGAACUCUAAACAGACUGCUUGUGAAAACAAGAGGAAGGUGGGGAUGACGUCAAGUCAGUAUGGUCCUUAUGUCCAGGGCUGCACGCGUGCUACAAUGGGUAGUACAAUAGGAAGCAAUAUCGUGAGAUGGAGCAAAUCCUUAAAGCUACCCUCAGUUCGGAUCGAAGUCUGAAACUCGACUUCGUGAAGUUGGAAUCGCUAGUAAAGGCGUAUCAGCUACGACGCCUUGAAUACGUUCCCGGGUCUUGUACACACCGCCCGUCACAUCAUGGAAGUCUGUUGCACCCGAAAUCGUUGAUCUAACCCAUUUAUGGGAGGAAGGCGCUUAAGGUGUGAUAGGUGACUGGGAUGAAGUCGUAACAAGGUAGCCGUUGGGGAACCAGUGG